UACGGGGGGAGCAAGCGUUGUUCGGAUUUACUGGGCGUAAAGGGCGCGUAGGCGGUCGUGACAAGUCACUUGUGAAAUCUCCGGGCUUAACCCGGAGCGGCCAAGUGAUACUGUCGUGCUAGAGUGCGGAAGGGGCAACUGGAAUUCUCGGUGUAGCGGUGAAAUGCGUAGAUAUCGAGAGGAACACCUGCGGCGAAGGCGGGUUGCUGGGCUGAUACUGACGCUGAGGCGCGAAAGCCAGGGGAGCAAACGGG
rnacentral:rRNA from 1 species